rnacentral:sRNA from 1 species
CGCCUGUAUGUCUGAGGCUGGGUUUGAAGCCUCCAGCGUGUUUGGAGUUAAUCCCCAUUAGGUUGGACUCCGCCCCUUUCUCCCAAAGGUAAAGCAAGGUUUUCAGGCAUCACUGCAAAGGGCAGCUAGUAUUUCCAUCCUUGUCUAACAAGCUGUGAGGAGAAGUUGUUUCUGAGAUCUGAGCCUGAAGAGAGGGAACAAGUCAGGCAGCCUUCGUGGUCAGAAGAUGAAAAAGGUGGAAGAUAAAAUAAUUUAAGAAGUCCUGUUUUGUCUAGCAUAGGGGAAAAGAGAACACAGCUUUGUACCUGUCGGCUUGGCUGGGCCUAUUACUGUGCUGGAGGUGGAGCAGCUGCAGCCAUGUUGAUCUGCACCUGGCUCUCCUGCUUUGCUGGAAGAAACCCCAAGCCAGUCAUAUUGGUGGAGAGCAUCAUGAGGAAUACCAAUUCUUAUGCUAUGGAGCUUGACCAUUGCCUCAAACCUUGAGCUUUGAAAGAGGAUUGGAGAGGGUGGGAAAGGGGAGGAGGGAGCCCUGAAAAGAGGUACUAAGGAUUAGGCCAUUUGUCAUCUGUCAUUAGUGUAGCCUAGUGUUUGCAUGCGUUUCAAACUAAUUGUCGUUCAUUUUCAC